rnacentral:lncRNA from 1 species
UGUGCUUUCAUUUUCUUAAUGACUUUUACCUCAUUUUUAAAACAAAUCCAUAGUAUGGAUGAUAUUGAUGAUGAAAUGUCUUACGAUGAUCAUUUAGAGGUUUAUUUUGAACAACUGGCAAUUCCACGAAUGAUGGAAUAAAACAUAUGAAGUAGAAGGACUGGAACCUCCAGAAAAAGUACUUUAAGUUACCUACAGGUGAUCCUAGUCAGGUAUGAAUUGAUAAGAAAUGCCUGCACCUUCCCUCCUUCCUAUCUUUCCCUUGCCUACAGAAAAUUAAAAGGCAAAACAAUGGACAUCUACAUAUUCUUCAUUCAGAUCAACCAGUGGCUAGCAUUUGCCACCUUUUGCAGUUUCUUUCUCUUUCCAUAAGUACUUUCUUCUCUGAAUCAUUUGAAAGCAAAUGAAAACAGUAGCCUAAAGUGUCAGUUUCAACCAGAAAAUAACAGCUCUGAUUUCUCAUGGCUCACACUCUUCUGAAACGACUCGGGUAGAGGCUGAGGAAGGCCGUGUUGUUUGUCUACCUGGGACUAUAUUCCACGGAGCAUAUGAACUACGUUUUCUUGAUCCGGUCAGUUAUUAUGGGCAUUUAGGUUGAUUCCCUGCUGCUGCAGAAGCCAGCCUUCUGUGUAUCACCGCAUGGUCCCGUGACAC